rnacentral:rRNA from 1 species
AUUGAACGCUGGCAGCAGGCCUAACACAUGCAAGUCGAACGAGAGGCGGACGGGUGAGUAAUGUCUGUUACACUGCCUGAUGGAGGGGGAUAUGUACUGGAAACGGUCGCUAAUACCGCAUACCAUCAGCUGUCCCCAUAUGGGAUUAGCUGGUUGGGGGGGUAACGGCGCCCCAAGGCGACGAUCCCUAGCUGGUCGGAGAGGAUGACCAGCCACACUGGAACGGAGACACGGUCCAGACUCCGACGUGAGGCAGCAGUGGGGAAUAUUGCACAAUGGGCGCAAGCCUGAUGCAGCCAUGCCUCGUGUAUGAAGAAGGCCUUCGGGUUGUAAAGUACUUUCAGCGGGGAGGCGUUACCCGCAGAAGAAGCACCGGCUAACUACGUGCCAGCAGCCGCGGUAAUUC